ensembl:lncRNA
CGUUGCUUCAAAGAAAGGAUGAGGAGCCCAACUGAAAAAAAAUAAAGUAUAGUAAUUGGAAAAUAGCGUUUAGUCACAGAGGAGCUGUAAAAACAAUAGAGGAUGCUCCGAGAUCUGAAAGCCUCUGUGGUUCAGUAAGGUUUCUCUCCCGGGAGGUUUCUUCUUUUUCUCUCGUUGAGGUGCCACAGUCCCUGUCAAGACGGACACCUCCCGCUGACUCCUACUCCCAGCCGACAGCCAAAUUGGCUUCGGUGCAAUUUCCCAUGGACACAGGACUUAUGCAACCAGUGUGCUGCCUGGCCAUGCAGAUCUCCGACUCCCUCCCUCUCUGUCCACCCUCCUGCCUCCAGCAAUCCCUGAACACAUCUGAUCUCUGCCACCAGGAGCACAGGUCUCACAAACAGCCUACGGCUUUCAUGACUGCAAGCUGCUCCUCGGUGAGGAGAGGCAGCUCGUUGUGCCAGCCCAGGGUGAGCUUAUACCUCAUUAGAAACCAGAGAAACCACAUGGGAGGUGAUCUCACAAAUGCUCCAGCUGUGGGAAAAGAUUCAACUGUGGCUUCUCCAUCAACAUGAGAUGCAAAUCCCAGGGACCUGAGCUUCACUUUCAUUCAGGCUCCUGGAGAGGCUGCCUUUAUUUGCAUUGAAGAAGAGGCAAUGGAAGGACUCAGAAGACUGUUGCCGUGGAAGAAGAGGAGCAGGAAGACCCUGCAUGUCCAGUGGACCAGAGACCCUACAAGUCUAAGGCACAGAGACCUGAUAAGUCCAAAGAGACUGGCAGCCAUUCUUACUAAUUUCUUGCUGAAAUGUGGCUCUGGAGAGUUUUGUGAAACUGGAGAGCAUUAUGUGUUUUUGACUGGACCUCAUACUCUAACAUCUUGCUUCCCUGAGCUGCCAUAUCAGCAUGUUAUUUUCUAUACCUUUUCCUUGCACUUCAGACAUUUAUUUUGUGUUCCAAUCUCCUCCUCCAUGUCUACAACACAUCCUUAACCCUCAUUUCCACACUCCCACAUAAUCUACUGGAAGGGUGAUUUUUUUGGCAUUUGUGAGCGGUGUUAACAAGGAUCAGAUGGUGCCAUUGUUUAUGAAAGAACCAGGUUUCCUUUACCAGCUGUGGCAUGCACCAGUAAAAAAAAAAACAUCCAGCAGUGUGGACUUUACAGUGGAGUUCUUGUAUUUAGCAGGUGAAAAGUCAAUACUCUACCUGUAAUGAGAUUCGGUCAUGGAAAACCCCUUGAAGUUGUUUUUAGCAACGAGGCAUUAGUCACCCUUGGACAGCUGCUGGCCACUCGGCGCUUCUGGCUCGCACCGCGCCACGUGCAAGGGCUGUUUUGAAGGCUGCUCAGUGUUAAUGGUGACUCUUGCUACGCCUCAGGUGUUGAGUUUAAGCACAUGGUUUCUGGUUAUUUUAGGAAAACAUGAGCUCAUGUUCCAAGCAGCCUUUCCUCCAGUGAGAAGUUCAUUGCAGCCCAUCCCUGUGCAUGGGGCUGGGGAUGGUUAUACCCCGUGUCUUUGGGGGACUAGUGUGCCUUGGGUUUUCUUCCAAGUCUGGGGAUAUGGGAUGGUGUGAUGAUGAAGUGGUGAGAUGAUGCAGUGCUGUGAUGGGGCUGUGCUGGGGAGUGCCUCCAAAAGCAUCACCAGAAGCCUGAUGGCCACCCAAAGCAUUUUGCUGCACCCAGUGCCCUUGUGGGUGGUAGCCUGCCCAUGCUGAGGAACUGAGGGUGUGUUUGGAGGAUAUGAAGAGGUUGGUCAGGGAACUCAUGGAAAUGCAAGUGCAAGGGCUGAGAAAAAGGUGCUUUCUGUGUCAUAGACAUAGGUUAGGAAAAGAGGAGACAGCAGAGAGGUGAGAUCAUGGAGCAAGGAGGAGUGGAAUCUAUUAGAGCAUCAAAUGGCUGGAUUAAGUCAUACCACGUGAAGGCUAAGGCAGCUCCUAAAGAAAGGGAAAAUACAGGUGAUGAAGGAAGAAGUCAGUUUAACAGACCUGAAAUCUGGCCUGCCUGCAGAAAUGCGGGCUUGGAGCAAUGACCUUCUUUGGGAAGAAAAGGAGAAGCUGCUGACCAGUGGAUGCUUACCCAUUUCCUCCAGCCCAUGGCUUCCCCCAGUCUCCAGCAUUGGCUGAGUAGGAAGGGACCUUUGCUCAAGGAGAGUGCUGGAUUUUCUGGCUGGUGGACAAGGGCAAGGAAGACCUGGUGAGGACAGUUCUUGCACUAGAUAUGGAGAGUGGGGAUCCAUGUUGAUGAGUGUCAGGAACUAGUGAGGGGGAACCACAAAAAAUGGUCAGCAAGGGUCCUGUCUCUGGGACCAGCCAACCCUUUACUUCCUCUGCAGCUCAGGCAGAGUUUGCAGAGAAGAGAGUCUGAUAAUACAUUGUCCCCACUUUAUAAGCAAAUAUCUUGAAAUAAUACAUACAGCUUUUGCUGAUAUCUUUAUCAUAGAGCAAUCUAAGGGUGUGCGUAGCUUGGAUCUGACAAGCAGAUCUCAGAAAACUUCUUCUGAUAGAGAGUGCAUUUAAAUGGAGAUGACAGGGAGAAUUUCAAUUUCAAUUUCUUCUAUAGAUAUGACCAAAAAAAAAGAGCAAAUGUGAAAGUGUUAGAAAAGAAACAGAAUUUCAUUUAGACAUCUUGUGUUGAAACAUCGUGAUGUCUUUCUUUGAGAACUUUCAGGGCCACUGUACCCCUCAUUCAAGACACUUAGAAAAACCAAGACAUGAGAACAGCAGAAACCAGGCAGAACAGUCUUGUUGAGGCUUCCUGAGAGAGGAAAAGUGGUUGUUUCAGCUGUUGAAUUAUUCCUUCAGUUCUACUGCUCAAGUUCUCCUGAGUUGCUCCAGUGGCACCAUGGAGUCUUAAAUCUAGCCAAAGGAUUCUCGUGGUGCAGGGAAACCCCACUGUAGCCUCAAGCCAGGGAAGUUGUUUAAGUGAGGCUACAGUUGUGUUUAGACCAGGAAUGGUUCUCUGUAUAGGGCUGGAAGCAUGUGGAAAGGCACAAUGCAGCUGAGAAGUUCCCUCCUCUGUUUCCAUUUUGUGGCUUCUGCAAUAAUCUGUCAAAGGAACCUUAUAAACCCCUAAGUGGUGGGGUUUUUAAAGCAUGGCUGUUAUGGUAAUGGUUUAAUGCUGCCUCCUUUGUUAUGUGUUAAUGGUGCCUUCCUCUUAAGUCUACUAAUAAAAGAAACUUAAACAUCAAUGUGAAAGUCCUUGUAAAGUUACAAAUCAAACACAUUUGUGCUGUUUUCCCUGACAGGCAAGACACUGGCAUGCCUCUGCGUGGGGUUUAGCAUCAGACCUUAACCAGGGAGCUGCAUGCCCACUGCUGUGCAUUUGGGGUCACCUGUUCCACAUAUGGGGCAGAGCCGUAAAGGAGUGUUUUACACAGUGAAAAGUCUCUUAAACUUAGGUGAGAAGGGGAGGAAAGGGAAAGGAUGGGGAAAGUUUAGACAGAUGAGGAAUAAUAGAGAUGAAUCCGGAUAGAAUGAUUCAUCAUCUCUAUCACACUUUGAUGAUCUCCUUAAUAUAACUUUUGAAUCAGACUGUGGAAUAUAUUCACAGAGAAGUUUUUCCUCGUGAGUGAAUUCUCCAGACUUAUUCACGGGUGUAUGGAAAAC